AACAGGAUUAGAUACCCUGGUAGUCCACGCCCUAAACGAUGUCUACUAGUUGUCGGGUUUUAAUUAACUUGGUAACGCAGCUAACGCGUGAAGUAGACCGCCUGGGGAGUACGGUCGCAAGAUUAAAACUCAAAGGAAUUGACGGGGACCCGCACAAGCGGUGGAUGAUGUGGAUUAAUUCGAUGCAACGCGAAAAACCUUACCUACCCUUGACAUGUCAGGAAUCCCGAAGAGAUUUGGGAGUGCUCGAAAGAGAACCUGAACACAGGUGCUGCAUGGCUGUCGUCAGCUCGUGUCGUGAGAUGUUGGGUUAAGUCCCGCAACGAGCGCAACCCUUGUCAUUAGUUGCUACGCAAGAGUACUCUAAUGAGACUGCCGGUGACAAACCGGAGGAAGGUGGGGAUGACGUCAAGUCCUCAUGGCCCUUAUGGGUAGGGCUUCACACGUCAUACAAUGGUACAUACAGAGGGCAGCCAACCCGCGAGGGGGAGCUAAUCCCAGAAAGUGUAUCGUAGUCCGGAUUGUAGUCUGCAACUCGACUACAUGAAGUUGGAAUCGCUAGUAAUCGCGGAUCAGCAUGUCGCGGUGAAUACGUUCCCGGGUCUUGUACACACCGCCCGUCACACCAUGGGAGCGGGUUUUACCAGAAGUAGGUAGCUUAACCGUAAGGAGGGCGCUUACCACGGUAGGAUUCGUGACUGGGGUGAAGUCGUAACAAGGUAACC
rnacentral:rRNA from 1 species